GGGUCAGUAGGUUGGUCGUGCCACCGGUACGUACUGGUCUCACUGAUUCCUCCUUCCUGAAGAACCGUAAUGCCAUUAAUUUGGUGUUGCGGGGAAACAGGACUGUUACUUUGAAAAAAUUAGAGUGUUUAAAGCAAGCUAACGCUUGAAUACAUUAGCAAGGGAUAAUGAAAUAGGACGAUCGAUCCUAUUUUGUUGGUUUCUAGGAUUGACGUA
rnacentral:rRNA from 1 species